UACGUAGGGGGCAAGCGUUGUCCGGAUUUAUUGGGCGUAAAGAGCUCGUAGGUGGUUCGGUAAGUCGGAUGUGAAAUCUCCAGGCUCAACCUGGAGGGGUCAUUCGAUACUGCCGUGACUAGAGGUCGGUAGGGGAGUGUGGAAUUCCUGGUGGAGCGGUGAAAUGCGCAGAUAUCAGGAGGAACACCAGUGGCGAAGGCGACUACCUGGCCUGUUUCUUGACGCUGAGGCGCGAAAGCUAGGGGAGCAAACGGG
rnacentral:rRNA from 1 species